rnacentral:sRNA from 1 species
GCUCCUUCGGGACAACCUUCAUCUCCUUUCCGCGGCCGCCAGGCCCGCUUCCCUUCUUCCCCCACACAACCCUGAACCUCGCCCGGGGAUCUUCCUUCCGAUGUUCAUUAGCACAAAGCGCGUAGCCACAGCGGCCGUCAAUGUUCCGCUCUAAGAUGAGAUUGUCAUAGUCGGACGGCUGGAAAGGGAUGAGGGCUUCCUUGAAAGCUUUGACGUCUUCGGGGAGCGGGGAAGAUGCUAAGGCAAUUGGGGAACUGGGGAAGGAGAGGAGCUCUUCGAUGCGGGAGAGGAUGAUAGCCUCAGUGUCUUUGCGGGCUUGGAUUUGACGGGCGUGGUGGAGGGCUAUAGCUAGAUGACGGGGGUCCGGAGCUGGUUUGCGGUGUUCAGUUAUGGAUUUCCGCCUGGUAGAGGUGGUUGUUGUAGUCGUUGCUGUUGACGGCGGGGCUUCUUUAGCGAGAGAGGCGUGGAUUGAGGGGAGAGAUGAUUUCGCGUUGGAUGACUCUUGAGGCGCGAGAUUGUUGGACAUAUUGUCCUGUAUAUGCUGCUAGGAGAC